rnacentral:rRNA from 1 species
AUGUGUUUGCCGCACCUCACCAAACUAGCGAGCCCAUGUUCCACCUCGCCGCCGGACCACGUCUUGCCGGAGCUCCCAUCGUUCGGUCUCCAUCGGCUGCCAUCAUACCCGGAUGGCGUCCACGCCAUGCGGAGGCUCACGUGGAGAGCACGAUUGGGGAGAGGAGGCAAUGGUGGCGUGCAUAUGGGCGUCAUAGCGAGGCAGACCUCAAGCCGCGGCUUCUCGGCUCAAGCUCGCUCCCGACUAGCAGGCCAUCGGCCCCCUGUCGUCGCAUGUCGGCUGGGCGUACGUCGAUCCGAGCAGCUUGGCAGGCGUGCAUUGCCGCGUGUUGUGCGCUUGACAUGGCGAUUGCGUUCGCAGGACGUUGGUGGUCGCGUGCACCAACAUGAUCAUGGCGUCCACGGCGACGCUGGUGGUCCCGUAGUGCAUGGGGCGUCAGAGUCCAUGGGCGCCUGCACCAAUAUCACGAUGGCGUCCACGGCGAGGUGGUCCCGUAGUGCGUGGGGCGGCAGAGUCCAUGGGCGCCAACGCCGCGGAGUGCGCGGAAGACAUGGACAUGUGCCCAUCGCGGGGGUCAUUCCCUUGGAAUUCAGGUUGCUGUUAUUAGUCGUCUGUGUCAUGAUCGGGGUGGUACUAAUGGACGGGUUCGUCGUGCGGCUCUGCGGUGUUCUGUUGCUGCCCAUGAUUCUUCAGGUGCUCUUUUGUCGCGGGCGGGUCCGCCUGUGGGCCGUCGGAGCGUUGUCCGCUCGAUCAAUUCUUCUGUUGUUGAUGCAUAUGUCACUUUGUGCCGCCGUCGGUGGAACCGCGCUAAGCGAUCCGGUGCGGAUCAAGAAGCACUUCUGGUGCAAGCAUGGUAGUCAGCGGCAGUGGAUGUGCGCCUGCUGCGCCAAGGACUACACCGUCCGGUUCGGUUACAAGGCACACCUCAAGAACUGCCGCACCCCGCGGUCACUCCUCGGACUGUGGAUGUAA